CUGUUAUCGGACCACAGAUGAAUUAUCACGUUGUGAUUGGUUAAAUGCCGUCACGUGGUGACCCCCUAUGAGACCGUAUGGGGUUAGUAAGUUUCAUAUGGGGUUCAUGACGCGUUAAUGGCGACGUCAUCUAUUAAUGUUGUUGUGUUUCAUUGUUUAUUUUUCAACAAAACGCCGCAGAAAAAGACCAUCGUCCGAUAAAUUCGUUAUACGGUUAACUACUGACCCCCUACGGAUCCAUAGAGGGUGAAUAAAAUUCAUAGGGGACUCGGCCUCCGGCCUCACCCCUAUGGAUUUUACUAACCCUCUAUGGA
rnacentral:lncRNA from 1 species